AUUGAACGCUGGCGGCAGGCUUAACACAUGCAAGUCGAGCGGAGUGAUGGUGCUUGCACUAUCACUUAGCGGCGGACGGGUGAGUAAUGCUUAGGAAUCUGCCUAUUAGUGGGGGACAACAUCUCGAAAGGGAUGCUAAUACCGCAUACGUCCUACGGGAGAAAGCAGGGGAUCACUUGUGACCUUGCGCUAAUAGAUGAGCCUAAGUCGGAUUAGCUAGUUGGUGGGGUAAAGGCCUACCAAGGCGACGAUCUGUAGCGGGUCUGGGAGGAUGAUACGCCACACUGGGACUGAGACACGGGCCAGAGUCCUACGGGAGGCAGCAGUGGGGAAUAUUGGACAAUGGGGGGAACCCUGAUCCAGCCAUGCCGCGUGUGUGAAGAAGGCCUUAUGGUUGUAAAGCACUUUAAGCGAGGAGGAGGCUCUUUUGGUUAAUACCCAAGAUGAGUGGACGUUACUCGCAGAAUAAGCACCGGCUAACUCUGUGCCAGCCGCCGCAGUAA
rnacentral:rRNA from 1 species